rnacentral:tRNA from 1 species
GGUAGCUUAGUGGUAGAGUGCUUGCCUAGCAUGCAUGAAGCCCUGGGUUUGAUUCCUAGUAUCA